rnacentral:sRNA from 12 species
UUGACCGAUACCGAGGCUGGUCACCUAAACCAGAGGGAGUUACCUGUUGUUUAACAGGCGGCUGUACUGAGUUAAGUAUAUGUCUGUAUCCCCAUACCUAAACUUUGUUUAGGUCUGAUGCAGGUAUCGUUCA